rnacentral:rRNA from 1 species
AAUAAACGUUGGCGGCGUGCUUAACACAUGCAAGUCGAGCGAGAAAGGUCUUCGGACUGAGUACAGCGGCAAACGGGUGAGUAACACGUGGGAAUCUACCUUUUAGUGAAGAAUACCCUCGAGAAAUCGAGGUUAAUACUGCAUACGUCUCGCAAGAGAGAAAGAUGGCCUCUUUGCUAUCGCUAAAGGAUGAGCUUGCGUACUAUUAGCUAGUUGGCGGGGUAAAGGCCCACCAAGGCAAUGAUGGUUAACCGGCCUGAGAGGGUGUACGGUCACACUGGAACUUAGACACGGUCCAGACUCCUACGGGAGGCAGCAGUGAGGAAUCUUGCGCAAUGGGCGAAAGCCUGACGCAGCGACGCCGCGUGGAGGAUGACGGUUUUCGGAUUGUAAACUCCUGUUAAGCGGGAAGAAAGCCUUGUUUCUAAUACAAGCAAGGUAUGACGGUACCGCCAGAGAAAGCACCGGCUAACUUCGUGCCAGCAGCCGCGGUAA